UGUUGCUCGUUUUAUGGGUGGUAUAACUCGGCCUCCCCACCUUUCUAUUAGCACUGAGUUCCUGCCACGGGAAAAGUGGUGUGUGAAAUUGUUGUGGGCACACACAAUGAAACAAUUUCUCAUCAGAACUGCUACCCUUUUACAGAGAUUUGGAAUGCAAUGUCAAUCUGGAGAAGAUGAGAGGAGCAAAAAAAAAUCGCACUUACUAUAAGCAAAAUUGCAGUUCAACUGAGGAGCAAAGCUGGAGAAAAUGCGAGUGGAGUGAGAAGAGAGGUUAUGUAGAGUAUGAAAGUGGAGCAGAAUUUGUUAUGGUUCGGUAUUUUAAAUUUCGUUUUUGAUAGAGUGCGUAAAUCAACAGAGUACAAGGAAUUGAAUUUUUUAUGGGUUCUAAAUUUUCAAAGACAUCAAGUGACGGGGCCCAUUAUCCACCGAGUUUAGAAGGCUGUGAUUGGUCCAAAGGGAUGAUAAUAUAGCACUCCUAUUGCUAUUGUUAUGAAUUACGAUGAAGAACCCAAAAACAGGUUUAGAGAAUAGAGAUGCCUGCAAAAGCUGCUGCUAAGGAGCCAACAGUAGUCUUUAUGAUCUCGCCAAACCAGAUUCUGAAAAAUAGGCGAUUUAAUAAGCCAUUGAACUGUCCCCCUAAGAUUAGUUGCUUUAGCUGGACUGCACUUCAUGGAGCUUUCCUGACCCAAGACAACCUGGCCAGAAGGAAGUUUCAGAUGGCUACCAGAUGUUAUAUGUGCAUGAAGGAAGCAAAAACACACAACCACGUAUUUCUACAAUGUCAAAUAGCAGCAAACUUAUGGAGUAUGUUUUUAGCUCUUUUUGGUCUCAAAUGGGUCAUGCCUCAGAAUAUCAGGGAUGUUUUGAUAAGCUGGAGUUGCUGGAAAGU